rnacentral:rRNA from 1 species
AGUCGAACGGUAACAGGUCUUCGGAUGCUGACGAGUGGCGGACGGGUGAGUAACGCGUAGGAAUCUGUCUUUGAGUGGGGGACAACCCAGGGAAACUUGGGCUAAUACCGCAUAAGCCCUGAGGGGGAAAGCGGGGGAUCUUCGGACCUCGCGCUGGAAGAGGAGCCUACGUCUGAUUAGCUAGUUGGUAGGGUAAAGGCCUACCAAGGCGACGAUCGGUAGCUGGUCUGAGAGGACGACCAGCCACACUGGGACUGAGACACGGCCCAGACUCCUACGGGAGGCAGCAGUGGGGAAUUUUUCGCAAUGGGGGCAACCCUGACGAAGCAAUGCCGCGUGAAUGAAGAAGGCCUUCGGGUUGUAAAGUUCUUUCGUGGAGGACGAAAAGGUAGGUGCUAAUAUCGCCUGCUGUUGACGUGAAUCCAAGAAGAAGCACCGGCUAACUCCGUGCCAGCAGCCGCGGUAAUACGGGGGGUGCAAGCGUUAAUCGGAAUCACUGGGCGUAAAGGGUGCGUAGGCGGUGCAUUAGGUCUGUCGUGAAAUCCCCGGGCUCAACCUGGGAAUGGCGGUGGAAACCGGUGUACUAGAGUAUGGGAGAGGGUGGUGGAAUUCCAGGUGUAGCGGUGAAAUGCGUAGAGAUCUGGAGGAACAUCAGUGGCGAA